rnacentral:rRNA from 1 species
AUUGAACGCUGGCGGCAGGCCUAACACAUGCAAGUCGAGCGAGCGGCGGACGGGUGAGUAAUGUAUGGGGACUGCCCGAUAGAGGGGGAUUACUUCUGGGAACGCUAGCUAAUAACGCAUCCUAUCGGCUAAACCAUAGGGGAUUAGCUAGUAGGUGAGGUAAUGGCUUACCUAGGCGACGAUCCCUAGCUGGUCUGAGAGGAUGAUCAGCAACACUGGAACUGAGACACGGCCCAGACUCCUACGGAGGCAGCAGUGGGGAAUAUUGCACAAUGGGCGCAAGCCUGAUGCAGCCAUGCCGCGUGUGUGAAGAAGGCCUUAGGGUUGUAAAGUACUUUUAGUCGGGAGGCGUUACCGACAGAAGAAGCACCGGCUAACUCCGUGCCAGCAGCCGCGGUAAUUC